rnacentral:rRNA from 1 species
UACGUAGGGUGCAGGCGUUAAUCGGAAUUACUGGGCGUAAAGCGUGCGCAGGCGGUCUCUUAAGACAGGUGUGAAAUCCCCGGGCUUAACCUGGGAACUGCGUCUGAUACUGGGAGGCUUGAGUAUGGGAGAGGGAUGUAGAAUUCCAGGUGUAGCGGUGAAAUGCGUAGAUAUCUGGAGGAAUACCGGUGGCGAAGGCGGCAUCCUGGACCAAUAUUGACGCUGAGGAGCGAAAGCCAGGGGAGCAAACGGG